rnacentral:rRNA from 1 species
UGGGUUGUAAACUGCUUUUCUGUGCCAUGAACCUUCCCUACGUGUAGGGAACUGACAGUAGCACAAGAACAAGCAUCGGCUAACUCCGUGCCAGCAGCCGCGGUAAUACGGAGGAUGCAAGCGUUAUCCGGAUUCACUAGGUUUAAAGGGUGCGUAGGCGGGAGGAUAAGUCAGUGGUGAAAGCCUGCGGCUCAACCGUAAAAUUGCCAUUGAUACUGUCCCCCUUGAGUCCGGCUGUGGUGAGUGGAAUGAGUAAUGUAGCGGUGAAAUGCUUAGAUAUUACUCAGAACUCCAAUCGCGAAGGCAGCUCACCAAACCGGCACUGACGCUGAGGCACGAUAGCGUGGGGAGCAAACAGGAUUAGAUACCCUGGUAGUCCACGCUGUAAACGUUGAUCACUCGUCGUUGGCAAUACAUCGUCAGCGGCUUAGCGAAAGCAUUAAGUGAUCCACCUGGGGAGUACGUCAGCAAUGAUGAAACUCAAAGGAAUUGACGGGGGCCCGCACAAGCGGAGGAACAUGUGGUUUAAUUCGAUGAUACGCGAGGAACCUUACCUGGGCUUAAAUGUAGAGUGCAUAGAGUGGAAACAUUCUUUUCCUUCGGGACCCUUUACAAGGUGCUGCAUGGUUGUCGUCAGCUCGUGCCGUGAGGUGUCGGGUUAAGUCCCAUAACGAGCGCAACCCCUAUCGUCAGUUGCCAUCACUUCGGGUGGGAACUCUGGCGAAACUGCCGGUGCAAACCGCGAGGAAGGUGGGGAUGACGUCAAAUCAGCACGGCCCUUAUGUCCAGGGCUACACACGUGUUACAAUGGCCGGUACAGUGGGACGCUACCACGCAAGUGGAGGCUAAUCUCUAAAACCGGUCUUAGUCCGGAUCGGAGUCUGCAACUCGACUCCGUGAAGCUGGAUUCGCUAGUAAUCGCACAUCAGCAAUGGUGCGGUGAUACGUUCCCGGGCC